AGAGUUUGAUUAUGGCUCAGGACGAACGCUGGCGGUGCGCCUUAUGCAUGCAAGUCGAGCGAAGCUUUUCAGUAGUUUACUACAGAAAAUGACUGAGCGGCGAACGGGUGAGUAACGCGUGAGCAAUCUACCUUAGUUACAGGGAUAGCCCGAGGAAACUCGGAUUAAUACCUGAUAUUCUUUAUUUCUCGCAUGAGAAUAAAAGGAAAGGUCAGCCGAACCAAGAUGAGCUCGCGUUCUAUCAGCUAGUUGGUGAGGUAAAAGCUUACCAAGGCUACGACGGAUAGCUGGUCUGAGAGGACGAUCAGCCACACUGGGACUGAGACACGGCCCAGACUCCUACGGGAGGCUGCAGCAGGGAAUAUUGUGCAAUGAACGAAAGUUUGACACAGCGACACCGCGUGUGGGAUGACGGAUCUAGGUUUGUAAACCACUUUCAGGAGGGAAGAAAAUGACGGUACCUCCACAAGAAGCCCCGGCCAACUACGUGCCAGCAGCCGCGGUAAUAC
rnacentral:rRNA from 1 species